GCCAUCUUACACGAAAGGAGAAAAAACGAGAAAGCCGGGGCAACCUGGUGAGUAAAGUUUUUUACGGGUGAGUAACACGAGGGUAAUCCACCCUCUGGUGGGGAAUAACCCUGGGAAACCGGGGCUAAUACCGCAUAAGUCCGGAAGGAGAAAGUCGAAAGACGCCGGAGGAGGAGCCCGCGGCCGAUUAGCUAGUUGGUAGGGUAACGGCCUACCAAGGCCUAGAUCGGUAGCCGGCCUGAGAGGGCACACGGCCACACUGGCACUGAAACACGGGCCAGACUCCUACGGGAGGCAGCAGUGGG
rnacentral:sRNA from 1 species